rnacentral:lncRNA from 1 species
CUACUUCUACAGGAAGUUUGUUCCAGGGCCUCUUGCUGCCAAUGGAAAUGGUGUGGAGAGACCGCUGCAUUCAGUGUGGUAGAUGUUCUGAUUGUUUCUGUUCCUUCUGAACAUGUAAAUGCCUUUUUGGCCAGCAAGUGACACUUAUGCUGAUGCUGUUCUUUACCAGAGUGUUCUCUGUCCUCACCAGCAUGUCUCCCUGAAUGCAAUCUCAGGGAAUAGUUGUCAAGCUGAACAGGGCAAGAUUGCUAUUCCACUGAGCAUGAUUGUCUCAAUCAUGAUGGUCUCGUGAUUGAUCUUUGGGAACAGCCUGUAACAUCCUACUAUUUGUUUCAGACAACGUGAGCAAUUUAUAUUUAGCUGGUUUCUUACUGGGUUGCAGUCUGGUGCCAGCUCCCAUCUUUGCUACUCUGAAGCACUGCAUGUUUUUUUUAGCUCUGCUCAGAGAAUGGAGAAAAUCAGGGAAAGAUGGCAUGUUAGAAUUGCUCAGUGAUGCCAGCUCAGCGUUUCUCAAGGAACAAACAGCCCCUGUCCUACAGAAAAGUCAAACUGCAAAUGAAGCUGAAGAACUGCAACUCCCAUUGAGAUACAUGGGAGAUGAGGUUGCACAAUCAUGACUUAAUCCAAUGUUACUGUUUGUUUUAUGCUUGCAACAUCUCAGCAAAUAUCCAGAGAUCAUAUUUAUUCAGCAUCUCUGCCACGAUGUCUUGGGGGCCAAAAGAAUGCAUUCAGGAAGGGAUUAGACAAAUUAAUGGUGGGUAAAUUCACUGGUGGCUACUGAACAUGGGAGUCUGGAUGCAAUCUCUGGUUUGCUUUGUUCCUAAGCUGCUGGGAGUUGGAAGGACAAACCAGGGAAAGGAUCAUUCUGUUCCUGUCCUUGGUUUUUAAACUUUUUUCCUACACAGUAAGUGUUGGCUGCUAACAGAGCCAGGAUAUAAAGAUAAGGCCAUGUGGUUUUUAUUCUUCAGAUUUAAGUAGUCACAUAAUAAAUUGAUGGUUUAUGUGGCA